AAAAUAAAAUGAACAAUGGUGUAAAGAUGUAUGGUGACCGGCGAGUGUUUUACACCUUCGGUACAAAAUUAACAGAGAAAAAGACAAAAAUAGCACUAAAUCAAGUUUUCGUUCCCAAACUAGCACUCAAGGUCAAAAGUCACAAAAAUAGCACUUAAUAUUUUAUCAAAAGUCACAAACUUAGGGUUUAGAGUUAAAGAGUGGGGUUUAGAAUUUAGGGUUUAGGGUUUAGGGUUUAGAGUUUAGGGUUUAGAGUUUAGGGUUUAGGGUUUAGGGUUUAGGGUUUAGGGUUUAGAGUUUAGGGUUGAGAAAUGAGGUUUUGGGGAUAAGAUUUCAAAUUUUGAAAAAUAAAAAAAUUAAAAUUUUCAAUGGAUAAACUUACAAAGAUGCUAUUUGGUCAUUUUAGUUUUUGAGUGCUAUUUUUGUGAUAUAAAAUUAUAAAUGUGUUAUUUUGACGAUUUGCCUAAAUUAAUAUUAAGUAUAUAUAUAUGCAUCUCAAAUUUUUGUGUAAUGAAAUAAAUUUAUAUGUAAACCUUCGUCUACACUUUUUUUGGGUAUUACCUUCGUCUACACUUCUUUCGUUAGGAUCCUAUUUGACAAAAUGUCUAAUCAAUGACGAACUGAUGAUUUCGUUCAUGAUAAAAUAUUUGGGCAUGUUAGAAGUACGAUGAAUGGAAUUAAGCUUAAAUAUAGGUGACCUAGGCAAAAUAUAAUGCAAUAAUUUUUAGACACACUUGAAUGUAAUUCAAAAAAUGUAUACGAAAUCUCAUUGUUUAAUAGAUUAUUACUUUGAUGGAACGAACCUGAUAUGACAUAUAAAUGUAAUAAAUUAUUAUAUAGUAUUGCAUGACUAUCUUUACAAGUUAUCA
rnacentral:lncRNA from 1 species